UGGUGCCAGCAGCCGCGGUAAUUCCAGCUCCAAUAGCGUAUAUUAAAGUUGUUGCAGUUAAAAAGCUCGUAGUUGAAUUUCGGGAUCAAUGUUUCGGUCAUGCCGUUGGUAUGUACUGAUAUUAUUGGUUUCUCACCUUCUAAAGAACCGUAAUGCCAUUAAUUUGGUGUCACGGGGAAUUAGGACUGUUACCUUGAAAAAAUUAGAGUGUUUAAAGCAGGCUCACGCUUGAAUACAUUAGCAUGGAAUAAUGAAAUAGGACAUCCGAUUCUAUUUUGUUGGUUUCUAGGAUCGAUGUAAUGAUUAAUAGGGAUAGUUGGGGGCAUUAGUAUUCAAUUGUCAGAGGUGAAAUUCUUGGAUUUAUUGAAGACUAACUACUGCGAAAGCAUUUGCCAAGGAUGUUCUCAUUAAUCAAGAACGAAAGUUAGGGGAUCGAAGACGAUCAGAUACCGUCGUAGUCUUAACCAUAAACUAUGCCGACUAGGGA
rnacentral:rRNA from 1 species